rnacentral:rRNA from 1 species
CAGCAGCCGCGGUAAUACGAAGGGUGCAAGCGUUAAUCGGAAUUACUUGGCGUAAAGCGUGCGUAGGCGGUUUGUUAAGUCUGCUGUGAAAUCCCCGGGCUCAACCUGGGAAUGGCAGUGGAUACUGGCAAGCUAGAGUGUGUCAGAGGAUGGUGGAAUUCCCGGUGUAGCGGUGAAAUGCGUAGAGAUCGGGAGGAACAUCAGUGGCGAAGGCGGCCAUCUGGGACAACACUGACGCUGAGGCACGAAAGCGUGGGGAGCAAACAGGAUUAGAUACCCCAGUAGUCCCUGUCUCUUAUAC